rnacentral:rRNA from 1 species
GAGUUUGAUCGUGGCUCAGAUUGAACGCUGGCGGCAGGCCUAACACAUGCAAGUCGAGCGGAUGACGGGAGCUUGCUCCUUGAUUCAGCGGCGGACGGGUGAGUAAUGCCUAGGAAUCUGCCUGGUAGUGGGGGACAACGUUUCGAAAGGAACGCUAAUACCGCAUACGUCCUACGGGAGAAAGCAGGGGACCUUCGGGCCUUGCGCUAUCAGAUGAGCCUAGGUCGGAUUAGCUAGUUGGUGGGGUAAUGGCUCACCAAGGCGACGAUCCGUAACUGGUCUGAGAGGAUGAUCAGUCACACUGGAACUGAGACACGGUCCA